AAGCUGGCCAGCCAGCCUGCGGAAGUAGCGCGAGCUCAAAGUAAACUAUUUGGGUUGUCAAGGGAACGGAAUUUAAUUCUCAACUGCCAGGGUCGGGGCUUGAUGAGCUCUGCUUUACAAAAUGGAUUGGUAAAAGUAUAAAUUUAAGCUGCUUUAAUGGUUCAAGGGCUUGACUGCUUGUUUUGCGAUAUACUACUCGUUAACGAGUACCAGAAUUCAUUUCCAGCCAGGACAUUGGAGUCACUCACUACCUGAACCGAGUUUGUUUACCGGUAUCUCACGUAGCUAGCAACAUUAGCUAAAGUUAAGAUAGCAAAACCGCAACAUUUCACAGAUGACAGAGACCUCAGUGGACCCACACAAGAGCUCAGGAACAGCGGAGAGCAGGGACUUCUCUCAUCACCUGGAAAGAAACUAGCUGACCAGAACCCAUAAGAAACAGCUAUAAAAGAGGUAUGCCUAUAAUUAGACACAUGUUAAGUGUAAGAUCCAUGAUCAGGUAGAGACACUUCAAACUAAUAUUUUCUACAACCUAUCCACAUCUGGCUGCACCCUUAGCAUUAAUACAAUUCCUGUAGGAACUGACACCCUGACAUGUUACUUCUGACAGCUAAUAACUUACUCCUGUUACAUCUGACUCAUUGUGGUAGAUUCAUCCUUGUCUCUGUAAUAGAUGCCAGCCAGCAGAUAUCUGUAUUCAACCUUAGCAAACCGUGGCAGUUAAAUUGUAGGUAUGAUGUGAUCAUUACAAAAAUAGUAUUCUCUCUCUCUGUGUGUGUGUGUGUGUGUGUGUGUGUGUGUGUGUGUGUGACUGUGAGUGAGAGUUUCCAGCUGUUCAUGCUACAGUGGCUGUGCUGUGGAUACUGUGCCAGGUGUCAACAUGCAUGGACCAGACCACUAAUACCAGGUGUUAAUGCCACAGUAGCUGAUACAGAUGCUAUGCCAAAUGCCAGCAUGGAUCUGCCGGAUCACUAACCGCAUGUAGGUGUCUACAUCAGAUUGGGGAGUUGGACACUGUGUAUGCCUGAUGUACAUCAGAAGGCUUUCCAGGCAGGCUGACCUGACCAAUUGUCGGCAUCUCUCUGCAUUCUUUGGAGCCCUUCUUCCUGGAGAAGACCACAAAGCUACUUGCAUUAACAUAAAUAAAUGUUUACUUUCAUUGUUGAAA